rnacentral:rRNA from 1 species
GACGAACGCUGGCGGCGUGCUUAACACAUGCAAGUCGAACGGAAAGGCCCUGCUUUUGUGGGGUGCUCGAGUGGCGAACGGGUGAGUAACACGUGAGUAACCUGCCCUUGACUUUGGGAUAACUUCAGGAAACUGGGGCUAAUACCGGAUAGGAGCUCCUGCUGCAUGGUGGGGGUUGGAAAGUUUCGGCGGUUGGGGAUGGACUCGCGGCUUAUCAGCUUGUUGGUGGGAUAGUGGCUUACCAAGGCUUUGACGGGUAGCCGGCCUGAGAGGGUGACCGGCCACAUGGGGACUGAGAUACGGCCCAGACUCCUACGGGAGGCAGCAGUGGGGAAUAUUGCACAAUGGGCGGAAGCCUGAUGCAGCAACGCCGCGUGCGGGAUGAGGCCUUCGGGUUGUAAACCGCUUUCGCCUGUGACGAAGCGUGAGUGACGGUAAUGGGUAAAGAAGCACCGGCUAACUACGUG